rnacentral:lncRNA from 1 species
CAAAUUUUGAGCUUUUUAUAAAACUGGGCCACUUUUUUUCGAUUUUGUAAAUUCGGUCCGAAUUUUCAGUAAACUGAUUAAAAUACUCUUAUUACUUUUUCUCUCCUUUUUUUUUUUUCCUCUCGUUCAUUUUUUUUUUCUCUCUCCGAAGAAGGCAGCGAAAGUAGAGGCUGAGGCGGAAACAUCCGCCUCGCCUCUCACCCUCAUGCCCUCACCCUCGCUCGCGCGCUCGCCACCUUCCUCGCCUCUGAUCCGGCCAAUGCUGCACCGUGAUUCCUUUUUUUUUCCCUCUCCGAUCCUCCUCCACCGUCUUCGACGAUAACGCCUGUCUCGCCCUCUUUCGCCCUUCCCCAUCCUUUCUCGCCCUCUCCCUCUCCCUCUCCCUCUCCCUCCUCCUCCGUCGCCGACGUUGACGCCACGGAGGUCGUUGCGACACCGCAUCCUUGGAGCGGGGGGUCCUUAGCAGUGUUGUCGCCGGCACCGCUGGUGGAGAGGCGUGACAGAAAAAAAUUAUAGAAGAAGGAAGAAGAAAAAAACAAAGAUAAAAAAUUAUAGAAGAAGAAAGAAGAAGAUAAAAUCGUACUGUUAAAAUAAAAUUACACUAUUUAGAAAUUUUUGUGCAGGGUUUUAAAUAAAAGUUACACUCUUUGAGACAAAUAUUACACUAUUUGGGAUGAGAUUUAUACUCUUUAGGACAAAGUUGCACUAUUUAGGUGAAAUUUACACAAUUUCUCUUUUCGUUCUUCUUCCUCCUCCUUCUCCUCAUCCUCAUCCUCCUCCACCCCCAGAGAAAUGGGUAGGAGGGGCAGUAGCGGUGCAAAAGCGAGCGCACGUCGUCAGCGAUGUCAUCGCUAAACGUUCUUUAUUAUUUUUACUUUUUAUUCUUAUUUUCUUUUCCUAUCCUUUGCAUCUUUGUUCACUCUU